rnacentral:lncRNA from 1 species
GCACCCCGUCCUUCCGGCCUCCACCCAGACUCGGAGAAGUGGCCCCACAUUCCUGGUAACCCGACUCCCCAGACGGGCGGGGUGGCGAGCGCAGUGGCCACGUGACCGCGCCCCGCGAACCGGGUGCAGAAAACUGGGGGACAGUGCAGCUGCUUUCCUGAACUGCAGACUUGUAGCAUCAGUGUGUCGCCAGGGCCCACAGGCAGAUCUGCAGUACAGGCAUCUUCAGCCCAACUUGCCACACAUGGUCACAAAGCUCCCUCAUGAUGACUAAAGAACCGAACAGAAUGUGGUUUUCCCAGGUAAGCCAACAUUUUCAUAUUUUUUAAUAGUGUGGAACAUCAGCCAAUAGGAUUU